rnacentral:lncRNA from 1 species
CCUCAAGAAAUAUUCUCUUAAUCCUUUGUAAGAAUACCAAGUACUUUUCUAAAGGAUGAGAGAUCCUACUAGAUCUACGAGGUGGAGGAGUUACUAUAUAUACUGGCUCAUCUUAAAUAUGUUAUACAGGUCCUGUGACUCAUUGUUCUUUAAAGAUUUUCUCUUUGAGUUCAUUCUCCCAUUGUUUCUAAAAAAAAUAGUAUGAUUGCUC